rnacentral:rRNA from 1 species
UACGGAGGAUGCAAGCGUUAUCCGGAUUUAUUGGGUUUAAAGGGUGCGCAGGUUGUUUGUAUAAGUCAGUGGUGAAAGUCUGUCGCUUAACGGUAGGAUUGCCAUUGAUACUGUUAGACUUGAAUAUGGAUGAGGUAGGCGGAAUGUGUAGUGUAGCGGUGAAAUGCUUAGAUAUUACACAGAACACCGAUUGCAAAGGCAGCUUGCUGGGUCAUUACUGACGCUGAUGCACGAAAGCGUGGGGAGUCAAACAGGA